rnacentral:rRNA from 1 species
CUUUCUAUUAGCUUUCAGUGAGAUUACACAUGCAAGUAUCCACACCCCUGUGAGAAUGCCCUCUACCAGAGCACNNNNGAGGAGCGAGUAUCAAGCACGCACUAUGCAGCUCAAAACACUUUGCUUUAGCCACGCCCCCACGGGAAACAGCAGUGACAAACUUUUAGCAAUGAACGAAANGUUUAACUAAGCUACACUGACCACUAGAGUCGGUCAAUUUCGUGCCAGCCACCGCGGCCAUACGAUUGACUCAAGUUAAUAGAGCGCGGCGUAAAGGGUGUUUAAGACUUAAACCCAAAUACAAUAAAGCUGACCUGUAACUAAGUCGUAAAAAACCUCAGUUACAGUGAAAUGUACUACGAAAGUGGCUUUAGUACUCUGAAUACACUAUAGCUAAGGUACAAACUGGGAUUAGAUACCCCACUAUGCUUAGCCCUAAACCUCAAUAAUUCAACUAACAAACUUAUUCGCCAGAAUACUACAAGCAACAGCUUGAAACUCAAAGGACCUGGCGGUGCUUUACAUCCGUCUAGAGGAGCCUGUUCUAUAAUCGAUACACCCCGAUAAACCUCACCACCUCUUGCCAUCAGCCUGUAUACCGCCAUCUUCAGCAAACUCCCCAAUGAUCGUAAAGUAAGCGGAAGUAUCAUCAUAAAAACGUUAGGUCAAGGUGCAGCCAAUGACGUGGGAAGAAAUGGGCUACAUUUUCUGAAUCAGAAAAUUUCACGAUANACUCUUAUGAAACU